GCCGACGUAGCCCAAAUGGAAGAGGCGCAAGUCUUAGAAACUUGAGGUUGUGAGUUCGACUCUCACCGUCGGUA
rnacentral:tRNA from 1 species